UACGGAGGGUGCAAGCGUUAUCCGGAUUCACUGGGUUUAAAGGGUGCGUAGGUGGGAAUGUAAGUCAGUGGUGAAAUCUCCGUGCUUAACAUGGAAACUGCCAUUGAUACUAUGUUUCUUGAAUUAUCUGGAGGUCAGCGGAAUAUGUCAUGUAGCGGUGAAAUGCUUAGAUAUGACAUAGAACACCAAUUGCGAAGGCAGCUGGCUACGGGUUAAUUGACACUGAGGCACGAAAGCGUGGGGAGCGAUCCGG
rnacentral:rRNA from 1 species